AUUGAACGCUGGCGGCAGGCCUAACACAUGCAAGUCGAACGAGUGGCGGACGGGUGAGUAAUGUCUGGGAAACUGCCCGAUGGAGGGGGAUAACUACUGGAAACAGGAGCUAAUACCGCAUACUGACGGAUGGGCCUGGGGUGCAUUAGCUAGUGGGUGAGGUAACGGCUCACCUAGGCGACGAUCCCUAGCUGGUCUGAGAGGAGGACCAGCCACACUGGAACUGAGACACGGUCCAGACUCCUACGGGAGGCAGCAGUGGGGAAUAUUGCACAAUGGGCGCAAGCCUGAUGCAGCCAUGCCGCGUGUAUGAAGAAGGCCUUCGGGUUGUAAAGUACUUUCAGCGAGGAGGCGUUACUCGCAGAAGAAGCACCGGCUAACUCCGUGCCAGCAGCCGCGGUAAUUC
rnacentral:rRNA from 1 species